rnacentral:misc_RNA from 1 species
GAUGAAGAACGCAGCGAAAUGCGAUAAGUAGUGUGAAUUGCAGAAGUACCGUGAAUCAUCGAAUCUUUGAACGCAAAUUGCACUCUCUGGUAUUCCGGGGAGUAUGCCUGUUUGAGGGUCGCUUAACAAACCAUCGAUUUCGUUGCUUUUUUUUUAAAAAGUGAUGUUUAUCGGAUUUGAGCCGUCUUUUUUUUUAUAUUUAAGUGGCUUAAAAUUGAUUUUUUUGGUACGAUCGAAGCGUAUUUUUAUGAUCAAUUUUUGGUUAAAGAAACGCACGCGUACCGUUAUUUAUAUGAUGUAAUACGUUUGACUAUUGGAUUUAGUUCAUUCGUAUACGAUAUUUUUCAAUAUUUGACCUCAAAUCAGGUAAGAACACCCGCUGAACUUAAGCAUAUCAAUAAGCGGAGGA